rnacentral:lncRNA from 1 species
CGGUUUAUAAAUCCUUCUCGACUACCUUGGAGCUUGUGGUAUAGGAAUUAGGUUGUUUAUAUUUGUUGAUUACUUUCUUGUCUCUCAAAGAACCCAUUCUUUGAGUUCUAUCUCUCGUUUAUUUGCUUUUAGGCAAAUCACAUUGUAUGAUUACAAUGAACUACCCAACAAAACAACAUUUGUUAGUUGGUUUAUAGAAGCGAUAUCCAAAAGUUAAUUUAAGGAUAUCCUACAAGAUUGUUAUCAAACAAAUAUUGUGUAUUAACACACAACCCCAAAUCUUAACAUGCUUAAGAUUUGUCUUUCUUUCCAACUACAUCUUAUGGAGUCAUGAAAAAUUUGGAAGAUCUUCUAAUUGACAAUCAUAUUGUUUUUAGAAGUAUAUAUCCUAUAUAUAUGGGUAAUUGAUAAUAUCCAACGAACUAAAUCUUAUUCAAGUUCGUUCUUCUCCUAAUGGAGAAAUCCAUUAUCUUAUGAUGCUAUUUUCCUUGAUAUCUUUCAAGGAAACUCAUCUAAAGUGUUACUUUUCCUUGGAUCAAAUCUAAGGAGGUAAAUACUUUAGAUGUCUUACUCAUCAACUUACAUUUCUUGAAUUCUUUGAAACUUUUUUGCAAAGUAUUCGGACUUGUGUUUAUUCAAAAUAAACUAUAGUCCAACCGAGAGUGAUCUUCGGUGAAUGUCAUCCAACAUGAGUAGUAUUAUGUUGUGGAUAAGUGCCACUAACAUCUAAGUGAAUUAACCUCAACAACUUUGUGAUUCUUUCUUCUUUCCAAAAGAAUAAAGAUUCGAACAUUUCGCCUCUAUACAAUUUUAACAAGAAGGUAUUGGAUCCGGAUCUAACGAUCCAAAGCAUCCAUCUUUCACCAACUCAUAACUUAUGUUUUUAGAGGAAUCACAACUUAGUUGGGAUUAGUCACUACCUUGCAACCUUUUGGGUUUUAAGCAUCAUUAUGUUCUAAACAGUUAACACCACCAUAUUAUCUCUACUAUAGAGACAAUCAAUUAGAUUACUAUAAUCCAAUCAUUGAUUAAUAAAGAACAAUGUUUUGUCAAACAAAACAUUCAUCCAUCUCUACUAUAGUGACGGAAUUAAAUUCCUUAAAAUUGGAAUGUAAAGACAAUCUUUGUUUUUUUUCAAUUUCUUUGGUAGUUCAUAUGAGGAAGUAAGUACUAUCUGCUUUCGCAGAGAUCUAUAUUUUAUUCA